rnacentral:rRNA from 1 species
AUUGGAACGCUGGCGGCAGGCCUAACACAUGCAAGUCGAGCGGAUGAACGGGAGCUGAUCCCUGAUUCAGCGGCGGACGGGUGAGUAAUGCCUAGGAAUCUGCCUGGUAGUGGGGACAACGUUCCGAAAGGAGCGCUAAUACCGCAUACGUCCUACGGGAGAAAGUGRGGGAUCUCGGACCUCACGCUAUCAGAUGAGCCUAGGUCGGAUUAGCUAGUAGGUGGGGUAAUGGCUCACCUAGGCGACGAUCCGUAACUGGUCUGAGAGGAUGAUCAGUCACACGGGAACUGAGACACGGUCCCAGAUCCURCGGGAGGCAGRAGUGGGGAAUAUUGGACRAUGGGCGAAAGCCUGAUCCAGCCAUGCCGCSUCACACKAGAAGGUCUUCKGAUUGUAAAGCACUUUAAGUUGGGAAGAAGKGCAGGAAGAUAUACCUUGCUGUUUGACGUUACCAC